AAGUCGUAACAAGGUUUCCGUAGGUGAACCUGCGGAAGGAUCAUCAAUAAUCCAAAUGAUUCAUAACUUAAAAAAUUAUGAAUCAAACUUUCUUGUGCAUUCGUUUAAUGUUUAUUAGUUGGGAGGAUUAAUUAAGAAUGUAUCUACUUUUUAUAUUUAAAUAUAUAUUAAUAGAUCAGACUGAACUCCCAACUGAUUAAUUUUAUACAAACUAUUUUAUAUUUGAAGUUGUUUAUUUUACAGGAAACUGUACUAAUAUAAAUACAACUUAUAGCGAUGGAUCUCUAGGCUCUG
rnacentral:misc_RNA from 1 species